GUGGGGAAUAUUGGACAAUGGGCGAAAGCCUGAUCCAGCCAUGCCGCGUGUGUGAAGAAGGUCUUCGGAUUGUAAAGCACUUUAAGUUGGGAGGAAGGGCAGUAAGUUAAUACCUUGCUGUUUUGACGUUACCAACAGAAUAAGCACCGGCUAACUUCGUGCCAGCAGCCGCGGUAAUACGAAGGGUGCAAGCGUUAAUCGGAAUUACUGGGCGUAAAGCGCGCGUAGGUGGUUCAGCAAGUUGAAGGUGAAAUCCCCGGGCUCAACCUGGGAACUGCCUCCAAAACUACUGGGCUAGAGUACGGUAGAGGGUAGUGGAAUUUCCUGUGUAGCGGUGAAAUGCGUAGAUAUAGGAAGGAACACCAGUGGCGAAGGCGACUACCUGGACUGAUACUGACACUGAGGUGCGAAAGCGUGGGGAGCAAACAGGAUUAGAAACCCGGGUAGUCC
rnacentral:rRNA from 1 species